UGUGGAGAUUCAGUGUACUGCGACAGCGGGUGGAAUUUUCUUGUCUGUUUUUUAGCCAUAUUGGUCUAGUCAAAGAUUACUCGGUAUGGUCUGUAUCCUCUCAGGCCUUUGGAAGUGAGAAGCUUCUGCAGAGAAAAGUACUCCAUCGAUUUGGAAAAUACGAGUCCAUUUUUGGAGCGACGCCGGUGGACUGGAGGCAGUGCAUCCUAUUCAACAUUGAUAUAAACUUAACUUCCGCAAAGAGUGCAGGUCCACUCAAACUCUCUGCCGCACCGGUGACUGAAGUGAAGCGUGGCCCAUCCUAUUGCCAGGUUUUGUUUUGAUUCUAGAACUCCUGUAAUUUGGUUGAUGACCUCACCGGCUUUUUUUUACGUCACACAAGAAAAAACGUGAAACCGUGGACAAAAGAAAAAUGACAUGCAUCUUUUUAAGAGGACGCCA